AGGCAGGAUCAGACCUGGGUCCCUGUGGAGAAAUAAACACUGGGCCUAUAAAGGGCAUUGAUACGACACAUAAUCCUUCAAUAACAACACAGCUCAACCUGCAAGACUGACUACUGAGUCAACAGGCGUCUGGAUACUGACUCAAACCACAGGUUGUCUUGUGGUAUGUGGUGGACAGAACUCAAUGAAGAUGAAGUACCCAGAAGGAUUGAGCAUCUACUUUGGCCUAAUGAAGAUUUAAACCAGUGAAGCAAAGGCUGUACACACUUCAUCAGUCUUUCUCACAGGCUACAAGUGGGAUGCAACUGUGCGUGUCCUUUCCAAUUCCGAGGCUCGUAUUGAAGAUAUUGGAAGAACUGUACACAUUUACUUUUCGUCAGCCAACAAGAGGAGUAGGCCUAACGAACAGCAAAAACACUAGCCUAUGUCAAUCUACUACCCCCCCAUAGUAGAAUUAAUAUAAUCACUAGCAUAAAACAAACUGUUUGAAGCAAUGAGCCUGAAGCAACAGGUGAGAACGUUUAGUUUAAAAUGUUGAUAAACUAUUAGGCAAUUUCGUCACAUUAUAAGUGCAGCAAUGCGCACACAGCAUUAGACUAUAAGCGUGAGUGUUCCAUUAGCAGGAAAACACCAUCCUCAAAAGUGAUAUAUAUGCCAGUUAGGCUCUACACCCAUUGUAAAGCAGAUUAAUGUGCAUCAUUUUAAGAAGUUAUUUGUCCACUUUAGUUGUGAUACAAACCUUAUUAAAACAUAUAAGCCUAUGGGCUAGGAUUAAUGAGGUGUGAGACUAUGAUUUGAAAAAGUCGCAAAAAAAGCAUGCACUGUUUGCCUUAAGCUGGGCAUCAUUCACAAGUGAUGAUGUAUAAUUGACAAGUGAUAGGCUAACAUUGUCACCCAUCAUACUAUUCUUGAUUUAAUCUUGUCUUUACAUAUACUAAAUAAUGUCUGUGUGACAUUUGUUGUGAUUUAGAAUGGACCAUUAUCAUGCACCUGCCUCGAAACAUGGGCAGUGGGAAAAAUGCAUGUCAUCUAUGCACUUAAAUAGCGAAUGGAGGAUGCUUUUCUCAGGGUUCAUUUUCAUGCCAGCCAGGUAGGCUAUAGUCCUGUUUUAAGGAGAAGCAAUGUGCUUAAUAUUAGGAAGGUUGAGAAAUAAAUAUAGCAAGCCUAGCCUAUAGAAAGCUGAUGGGAUCCUCCUCUUUUUAAGAGGCCAUCACUCUGUUUUCUCACGCAAUUGCAAAGCCUACAGAGAUGUUGCACAAAAUGAGCUCAUGGGCUCUCAUUAAGUGUUUGAUUAGAUUUUUGAUUGCAUUUGCAUUGAUGUCAGAGUGAUUAGAGGGACAAUAGAGUGCGGAGUACGAGGCAGUUAGCACGAUUGGUAGUCUACUAAUGACCAUCAGCAGCACCAGAGCUUGGAAAAGCCUAAUUACCAUUACUUAAUGGUCACAUGGAAUUUGACUGCCAUCAUGACUUGUGACCGUCGAUUUUGCGGUAAUAUGGUCACCAUAACAGCCUUAAGUAGACCCAUAGACUUGGCUUGAGACCUGUCCACAUUAUGACACCAUGCAUUUAACGCUCAUGAUAACAGUUAGUGUGUAUUGUAUCAGUAUGUGUGUGUGUGAGAGACUGUGUGUGUGUGUGUGUUAUGAGUCCUCUUACGGAUCUGCCCCUUUAUGUCAAUUUUUGCCUAAAAUGACCCAAAUCUAACUGCCUGUAGCUCAGGACCUGAAGCAAGGAUAUGCAUAUUCUUGAUUCCAUUUGAAAGGAAAAACUUUGACAUUUGUGGAAAUGUGAAAUCAAUGUCAGAGAGUUAUAACACAUUAAAUAUGGUAAAAGAUAAUACAAAGGAAAAAACAUGCAUUUUUUUUCACAAAUCUUUGAAAUGCAAGAAAAAAGCCAUAAUGUAUUAUUCCAGCCCAGGUGCAAUUUUGAUUUUGUCAGACUAGAUGGCAGCAGUGUAUGUGCAAAGUUUUAGACUGUUCCAAUGAACAAUUUAAUUUCUGUUCAAAAUGUUGUAU